CGAAAUGUGAUAAGUAAUGUGAAUUGCAGAAUUCAGUGAAUCAUCGAAUCUUUGAACGCACAUUGCGCCCGCCAGUAUUCUGGCGGGCAUGCCUGUCCGAGCGUCAUUUCAACCAUCAAGCCCCCGGGCUUGUGUUGGGGACCUGCGGCUGCCCGCAGGCCCUGAAAACCAGUGGCGGGCUCGCUGUCACACCGAGCGUAGUAGCAAUCACCUCGCUCAGGGCGUGCUGCGGGUUCCGGCCGUUAAACAGCCUUACAAAACCCAAGGUUGACCUCGGAUCAGGUAGGAAGACCCGCUGAACUUAAGC
rnacentral:misc_RNA from 1 species